rnacentral:rRNA from 1 species
AUUGAACGCUGGCGGCAGGCCUAACACAUGCAAGUCGAACGAGUGGCGGACGGGUGAGUAAUGUCGGGGAAACUGCCCGAUGGAGGGGGAUAACUACUGGAAACGGUAGCUAAUACCGCAUACCAUCGGAUGUGCCCAGGUGGGAGUAGCGAGUAGGUGGGGUAACGGCUCACCAAGGCGAAGAUCCCUACCUGGUCUGAGAGGAUGAACGGGCACACUGGAACUGAGACAGGGUCCAGACUCCUACGGGAGGCAGCAGUGGGGAAUAUUGCACAAUGGGCGAAAGCCUGAUGCAGCAAUGCCGCGUGUAUGAAGAAGGCCUUCGGGUUGUAAAGUACUUUCGGCGAGGAGGCGUUACUCGACGAAGAAGCACCGGCUAACUCCGUGCCAGCAGCCGCGGUAAUUC